rnacentral:rRNA from 1 species
GACAGAGGCCUCAAGCGUUAGGCGGAAUCACUGGGCUUAAAGCGUGUGUAGGCGGAUCGUUAAGUGUCUUGUGAAAUCCCACGGCUCACCCGUGGAACUGCUGGGCAUACUGGCGAUCUUGGGCCAACUAGGGGCAACUGGAACAAGCGGUGGAGCGGUGAAAUGCGUAGAUAUCGCUUGGAACGCCAAAGGGUGAAAACAGGUUGCUGGGGUUGUGCCG